rnacentral:lncRNA from 14 species
CUGGGCGCCAGGAUCAGCCCCGCUUGCAGCCAGGAGCUGGGGGGACAGGGGUAGGACCCCGGGGCACAAGGUGACAGCGCGGCCGCGGCACACGGCGUGGGCUGUGCCGUGUGGGCAGGAUCGGUGCAUGCAGCGUGGCUGCCCUCUGCUGCCACGGCCACGGCAGCGCUCGGCACCCCCGGGACGCUGCGGCAGGGACCCCCGGAGUGCUGCUGAACAAUGGCAGCUCUCUGUGCCCGCACCAGAACCCCCCGGGCUGGGGUGACACAGCAGGGGAGUGGGCUCUGGGAUGCUCCACCCCGUGCCCCCCCAGCUGGGAUGGGGUCAUGCAGCAGCCAGCAGGGAAUGAAGCUUUUUCUGGGCUUUCAGAGCCAUGGGGAAGGGGCUCAGCCCGGUGUCAGGUCUUGGUGGCUCUGGCUGCUCUCGGGGUGUGGGGCUGGCACGGAUCCCGCAGCUCCAUCCCUCCCAUCCUCCAUCCCGCUGCCUUGGGAAGCAGGUCACGUCCAGCUCCCGGCACGGCAGCGCUGCCGGGGGAGCUCGGCUUUCUGGGGCAGCUCGGGGCUGCUGGGAGCCGCUUUUGGGGGCUGUGGGAGGAGGAUUUCCAGCUGCGCAGGUCUACGUGGCACUGCCACCCCGGGGAUGUGGCAGUGAGGAGCCCCCACUCCCCUCCAGCUCAUCCCAAUGGAGGCUGGGGGUCUUUGGGGGAGCAUUGCCAAGCCCCCCCACAAAAAAGCUCAUUGCUCCAAGAGUCCCUGCCCUGUCUCAGGGCAGCUGUGCUGGGUGGCACCAGCCUGUGCAGUGCCAGGAUCCGGCCUUGCCCUGUGGAACGCCCGGCUCCCAGGGCAGGUGUGGUGCUGCUGGAGGCACCGACGCUGCCUCUACCUGCCUCCAUCCGGAUCCCUGCGAGGGGGGAGAGCGGGGGAACUUUCCCGACUCGUUCCCCCACAUCGAGGGGAAAAAAAAAAAAAAAGACAAGGAGUCGCAUGACUUGGAGCUUCCCGAGAGGCAGCGCAG